GAGCCAGUAGCUCAGUCGGUAGAGCAUCGGACUUUUAAUCCGGUGGUCGAGGGUUCGAGUCCCUCCUGGCUCA
rnacentral:tRNA from 1 species